rnacentral:rRNA from 1 species
AUUGAACGCUGGCGGCAUGCCUAACACAUGCAAGUCGAACGGCAGCGCGGGUAGCUUGCUACCUGGCGGCGAGUGGCGGACGGGUGAGUAAUGCAUAGGGAUCUGCCCAGUAGCGGGGGAUAGCCCGGGGAAACCCGGAUUAAUACCGCAUACGCCCUACGGGGGAAAGCAGGGGAUCUUCGGACCUUGCACUAUUGGAUGAGCCUAUGUCUGAUUAGCUUGUUGGUGGGGUAACGGCCUACCAAGGCGACGAUCAGUAGCUGGUCUGAGAGGACGAUCAGCCACACCGGAACUGAGACACGGUCCGGACUCCUACGGGAGGCAGCAGUGGGGAAUAUUGGACAAUGGGGGAAACCCUGAUCCAGCAAUGCCGCGUGUGUGAAGAAGGCCUGCGGGUUGUAAAGCACUAUCAGUUGGGAAGAAACAGCAGCCGGCUAAUAUCCGGUUGUCUUGACGUAACCAACAGAAGAAGCACCGGCUAACUCCGUGCCAGCACG